UACGUAGGGUGCGAGCGUUGUCCGGAAUUAUUGGGCGUAAAGGGGCUCGUAGGCGGUUUGUCGCGUCGGGAGUGAAAAUCCAGGGCUUAACUCUGGACUGGCUUCCGAUACGGGGCAGACUAGAGGUAUGCAGGGGAGAACGGAAUUCCUGGUGUAGCGGUGAAAUGCGCAGAUAUCAGGAGGAACACCGGUGGCGAAGGCGGUUCUCUGGGCAUUACCUGACGCUGAGGAGCGAAAGUGUGGGGAGCGAACAGG
rnacentral:rRNA from 1 species